UUGGAGGGCAUUGUACGUGUAUGGGAGGUGUUGGAAACCAUGGUCAGUGACAAUGCGAUGCGCAUCACCCUGCAGUGCAGCCAAAAAUAAAGCAACAAAACCCCAUGUCAACAAUGCACUGAACUGAAAAGUUUAUAUGAAAUUUGUCGAAUGAAACCUAGGAGAAUCCACUAUGCUGGAGGAAGAUGGAUGAUCUAAUCAGUCACAAAGCCAAAAAAAACAAUCAAAUGCCUCUCCUUUUUCUGUUCUGUCCUUUCCCUGUCUUACCCAACUUUAAUCAUGAUUCUCUUAUCAAUACUAAUUAAAACCACCCAUCUUCUCUCUCUCUAUAUAUAUAUAUAUAUAUCUCUGUCUUUGGACUAUGGUAUAUGGGUGUCAAAUUAUAUGUUCCAUGAGCAAUGAAUUUUGUUUAAGGGAUUCCAGUUUGCCGGUUGAGGUUGGGCCUCACUCUCCCACAGCCCUGUUUCCUUCUGCUGCUUGUAAUCUUCUUUUCUAGUCUAGAAAUGAAAAAGAAGACUCACCAAGUCCAAACCCUACCAAAGGCCAGACUCCACCCACCCACCCAAAUUCAUUUAAAAACAAGUCACGCCUUGUGUUGUUUGUUGAUUAGAUACUUUUUAUAUCCCAUACACUACACUACAGUAUGUGUAUAUAAAAACAUACAAGUCUGUGUGUUAUUCUGUAUCUAUUCUAUUAUUAUGCAGACAAAUACAUCAUUUUGAUGUU